rnacentral:rRNA from 1 species
ACUCUGACGCAGUGACGCCGCGUGCAGGAAGAAGGUUUUCGGAUUGUAAACUGCUUUAGACAGGGAAGAGAAAGGACAGUACCUGUAGAAUAAGCUCCGGCUAACUACGUGCCAGCAGCCGCGGUAAUACGUAGGGAGCGAGCGUUAUCCGGAUUUAUUGGGUGUAAAGGGUGCGUAGACGGGAAUACAAGUUAGUUGUGAAAUACCUCGGCUUAACUGAGGAACUGCAACUAAAACUAUAUUUCUUGAGUGCAGGAGAGGUAAGUGGAAUUCCUAGUGUAGCGGUGAAAUGCGUAGAUAUUAGGAGGAACACCAGUGGCGAAGGCGACUUACUGGACUGAAACUGACGUUGAGGCACGAAAGUGUGGGGAGCAAACAGGAUCAGAUACCCUGGUAGUCCACACCGUAAACGAUAGGAUUAUAGAGUGUAGGGGGAUAGUAAUUUUUUGUUGUUCCGUCGCAAACGCAGUAAUAUCCCCCCUUGGAGGGUACGCCCGCAAGGUGAAAAUCAAGGGAAUGACGGGGGGCCCGCCCAGCCAGUGGAGUAUGUGGUUUAAUUAGAAAGCAACGCGAAAGAACCAUACCCAGGCCUUGCCAUAUAGAUGAAUAUAUAGAGGAUUAUAUGGCUUUUCGGAGCAUCUAUACAGGGGGUGCAUGGGUGUUGUCAGGCUUGUGUUCGUGAGAUGUUGGGUUAAGUCCCGCAACGAGCGCAACCCCUGUUUCUAGUUGCCAGCAUGUAAAGAUGGGAACUCUAGAAAGACUGCCGUAGAUAAUACGGAGGAAGGUGGGGAUGACGUCAAAUCAUCAUCCCCUUUAUGUCUUGGGCUACACACGUACUACAAUGGCUGUAACAGAGGGAAGCGAACCAGUGAUGGUAAGCGAAACCCGAAAAGCAGUCACAGUUCGGAUUGAAGGCUGAAACUCGCCUUCAUGAAGCCGGAAUUGCUAGUAAUGGCAGGUCAGCAUACUGCCGUGAAUACGUUCCCGGGCCUUGCACUCAACGCCCGUC